rnacentral:rRNA from 1 species
AUUGAACGCUGGCGGCAGGCUUAACACAUGCAAGUCGAACGGUAGCAGGAGAAAGCUUGCUUUCUUGCUGACGAGUGGCGGACGGGUGAGUAAUGCUUGGGAAUCUGGCUUAUGGAGGGGGAUAACGACGGGAAACUGUCGCUAAUACCGCGUAAUAUCGAAAGAUUAAAGUGUGGGACCUUCGGGCCACAUGCCAUAGGAUGAGCCCAAGUGGGAUUAGGUAGUUGGUGGGGUAAAGGCCUACCAAGCCUGCGAUCUCUAGCUGGUCUGAGAGGAUGACCAGCCACACUGGAACUGAGACACGGUCCAGACUCCUACGGGAGGCAGCAGUGGGGAAUAUUGCGCAAUGGGGGGAACCCUGACGCAGCCAUGCCGCGUGAAUGAAGAAGGCCUUAGGGUUGUAAAGUUCUUUCGGUAUUGAGGAAGGUUGAUGUGUUAAUAGCACAUCAAAUUAACGUUAAAUACAGAAGAAGCACCGGCUAACUCCGUGCCAGCAGCCGCGGUAAUACGGAGGGUGCGAGCGUUAAU